rnacentral:tRNA from 4 species
ACUAUUUUGGCAGAUUAGUGCAAUAAAUUUAGAAUUUAUGUAUAUGAUUUUUAUCAUAAAUAGUA